rnacentral:tRNA from 1 species
UUAUAUUUUAGUGUAAAUGCAUUAUAAAAUUUUGAAUUUUAAGGAAUUAAAUAAAUUAAUAAAU